rnacentral:rRNA from 1 species
AUUGAACGCUGGCGGCAUGCCUUACACAUGCAAGUCGAACGGCAGCACGGGUGCUUGCACCUGGUGGCGAGUGGCGAACGGGUGAGUAAUACAUCGGAACGUACCUUAUCGUGGGGGAUAACGCAGCGAAAGCUGUGCUAAUACCGCAUACGCCCUGAGGGGGAAAGCGGGGGAUCGAAAGACCUCGCGCGAUUAGAGCGGCCGAUGCCUGAUGAGCUUGUUGGUGGGGUAAAAGCCCACCAAGGCGACGAUCAGUAGCUGGUCUGAGAGGACGAUCAGCCACACUGGGACUGAGACACGGCCCAGACUCCUACGGGAGGCAGCAGUGGGGAAUUUUGGGCAAUGGGGGCAACCCUGAUCCAGCAAUGCCGCGUGAGUGAAGAAGGCCUUCGGGUUGUAAAGCUCUUUUGUCAGGGAAGAAACACCGGCUCUAACACAGUCCGGGAAUGACGGUACCUGAAGAAUAAGCACCGGCUAACUGCGUGCCAGCCGCCGCCGUAA